AAAACAUACAAUCUUUUUGUAAAAAAAGACAAUACAAAAUAAACAGAUCAUGAUAAACAAUUAUAUCUUUCCUAUUCAAACAUAUGCAUGAAUAUAAGAGAAAAGUAAUCAUGGUAGUAAUGUGGUAGAAACAGUAUUAUCUUAGUAGGCUUGUGACAUCAACAGUUGAUAAGCAGUUCAUCCUCAUUACUAGUUAAAAAUAGAAACAAAUAAGAGUAAAAUGUAUUUUAUCACAUUUGCAGGUUUUUAAAGAAAAGUCAUAACUUGUAGUGUUUUAAAUAUGAGUGGAAAGAUAGAUAAAUAAAUAGAUAGAUAGAUAUCAAUAUAGAUAUACACAAAAUGGGUAAAAAUGGCUUGUGUUAUUUUGAAAAUAAAGCUGGUAACAUUGAAAUUUUACAUACCAUUCAAGGAAUACAUUCUAUGAGAAUUAUACUACUAGUACUCACAUGAUUUUAUGCAAGAAUAAUUCCAAGUGUAUUUACAUCAUUGGGAUGCUUACUGUUAACUGUGUGAUUAUGGUGAUCUGGUGUAAUUUGGAAAAGAGGCCUCUGGGAAAGUCUGUGGACAUGUCUUGAUUAUAUUGACUGAUGUGGGAAGACCUAUCUUAAUUGAAGUUGGAACCAUUUCCUGGACAGGAGCUCCUGGUCAGUCUAAGGUAAAAAGGACAGUUGAGAAAGUGCACAUAUUUGCUGCUCUCUGUUCUUGAGUCUGGGUGACAUGGGACCAGCUACUUUCAUGAUCCCUCUGCUUUGGCUUCUGUGCUAUGACAAGUUUACUGUACCUUGAUCUGUGAGCUAAACUGGAUCUCCUGUUUUUAAGUUGCUUUUGUUAGAGUAUGAUCACAGAAGUGGGAAGAAAAAUUCAGACAGGAAAAUAAGAAAGAUCACUUAAGAGGCAAAGGACAAGACAAAUGUGUUUUCAAGAGUAAAACACAACAAAUCGCGAGACACCCCCGUUUUGAAGCAUCAUCAUAUAGCCAUUGAAAGGAAUGAAUUGCUUUUAUGAUUUUCCUCAAGUAAUACAUCUUAUGUUCUUUUGAUUGUGUUUACUGUACAAUAAUUUGCAAUCAUACCUUUUUGAAAUAAAUAGCAUAUGUUUUCAGGUGAAUGACCACGUGAAACACACAUCAAACAUACUUAGAGAAAAUGGUACACUAAUACAUGAGGUAAAUCACGCAAGAAUGUUAAGUGAAGAAAUUAUUCUGAAAAGCAUACCUGUGAGACAAUAUACAUUUUAUCCUAAGAAAAUAUAAAUUUUAAACAUAGUAAGAGAUCAAUGGAGAAAUAAAAAGUGUUGGCUAGGCUUCCAAGUUAUCUGAGACAAAUGCUAAUGUAUUAGCUGUCACACAUACUAUCAAGCUUGCUUUACUAUGCCCAACAGAACUAGUUUAUAAUAUCAUGGGAGAUUUAAGUGUUGAAUUUCAUAAUAUUUUAGGCCACAUACCAAACUCUGGAUUUUAGCAAUUACAUUUGUGAGUAAAAUUAUUCUUGAAUAAUACUUUACUGUUUAAUUAAGAAAAAUUAUUUGCAAUGAUACCUGGUGAUUGAUAAACCAAGUCACACAUAUAAUCUAUUUUUAAAUAAUGAGGAAUAUUGGACAUUUGGAAUCUGAUUCAGAAAGACCUUUUUUCUUGCCAUCUAUUCAAAUGUGUGGCCUAUGAAAACAGAUUAGCAGAGAGCAGUUUCUGGAGUCAAACUUUCUGGAUUCCCGAAUCUGCCUAAUCAGUAAAACAGUUUCUGAACUUAUCACCUCAUUUCCUCUGCAUAUAUUGAGUAUCUACCUCAUAGGUUCAUUCUGAUAAUUCACUUAUAAAACGUUUAAAAUAAUAAUGAACAGAUUAAUUGCUUUUCCUAUGUUUAGGCAGUAGACAAUAAGAUUCUUUUCUGGCCAUUCUGCAUUCCAUAUCUGAGGAAUCCUUGAUGCUUGAUCUUUCACACAUACAUCCUUUAUGGUUUCAUCUGACAUUUGAUUUUGAUUGCCACCAUGGACAAUAACAGCAUGGUAAACCAUGUGGUAGAAUCCAGGAGGACAGGAGCUCAGUCACUCAUCUCAACAGCAGCACUUACCACAAGAGGUAUUUCCAAGCAUCCAGCCUCAAAGUCUGAACUCCACUGAAUAGAUGGGAGGAUCCAGGACCAUUAACACAAUGAAUGAUGUAUGUCUUGCUCUCUGAUUAUAGACAGAUGCAUAUCCAAUUAAAGAUUAGCAUGACAAUCUAGAAUACUUUCUUUCAUCUAUCUCAGACCUAUGUCUAACACAUACUUUUAAAGUUGUUUUAAGUAGAAUUGCAUUUGCUGAGCAUGAAAUGAAAACUAGAAGCUCUACAAAUCAUUGAAUAGUAUGAUGAUGUGUGCAAAAUUAUUUUGGGAAAUUUGCUUUAUGGUAUAAUUGACUGGUUAACCUUAAAGAAAAUGUUGUUAUUGAGUUUUCAUUUAAAGACUUUGAAUUUUGUAAAUUGGCAUGCAUUUUGAAAUGCAAGUCAUGCAUUUUGAAAUGCAAGUAGGAACUGCGAGAUAUUGGUUUUAUAUUCUCUAAGUGAUUGCUACAAUCUUUACAUUUUUAAAAAUACAAAAUAAUGUUAUAUGCUAUAUUAUAAUACACUGGUAAGAUCGGUUGACAAUAAUUAUCCUUAGGUGGAAGAAAUAGCCUUAAAAUUUUUCUGUAACACACAUAAACACAGACACACACGCACGCACGCACGCACGCACGCACGCGUAUAAUGUUUUGAAGGACUUCAAAUUCCUGUUCUUGAACAGGCGUUUGCUUUGUCACCGUGUAAUUUUUUUUUACACGUUAUCUUCUUCUGUUUGGCUUUAUUGUAAGCUAAACAGACAAAAGAUGUCCUGGAAAAUUAAGUGUACUAUCCAAUCUGGAGAGGAUGUGAAGAGUUCCCAGUGGGAGAUUUGCAGAGGAUCUACUAGACACUAAAAAAUCCCUUUAAUUGCUGUCCUCUUGAGGUUCUGUUACAUCCAUCAUUAUGAAGUAUAAUUGCUCUGCAUAUCAAAUUCAUGCUCCCAGACUUCUGGAGAAGGAGUCUUUUUUUCAGUGCCAGGACUAAGCUGACUUUCUAUAACUGAACUGCAGGGUGAUUUUCAUGACAGAUGAAAGUCUCACUUUCUAAAACAGCAAGGGCUGACACUGAAUAAACAGAGCAUUUAGACUUUACUGUGAUCAGAUCAAACUUGUGAAAAAGACAGAGAACAUGCUUUCUCCAUUUCAUAUGAGAGGGAAAGAAAGUAAUGACACUGGGAAGUGGCUCUUGUCACAGUUGGAUUUCUAUUGCGGCAGUAAAGACCACAACCAAAGGCAACUUAGGUAGGCAUAUAUAUUCUGGCUCAGUCCAUUGAAGGAUCCAAGGCAUGAACUCCAGGCAGGAAGCUACAGGCAGGAACUACAGAGGAAGCAAGGAAGGAACCUGGAGGCAAGAGCUGAAGUAGAAGCCAUUGGGGAGUAAUUCUUACUGGCUUGCUUCUUAUGGUUUUCUUAGCCUGCUUUUCUAUACAACCCAGGGGUUGUACCUACCAUAGUGAGCAGGCACUUCCACAUCAAUUAUUAUACAACAAAAUAUCCUAUAGCUUUGAUGCAGGAAAUCUGAUGGAAGCAGUCUCUUAGUUUAGCUUUUUAUUUCCAGAUAUGUCUAGGCUUGUGUCAAGUUGACCAAAAUAAUAACAGUGAUAAUGAGGAGGAGGAGGAGGAACAGGGGGAAGAGGAAGAGGAAGAGGAGGAGGAGGAAGAAGAAGAAGAAGAAGAAGAAGAAGAAGAAG
rnacentral:lncRNA from 1 species